UUGAGUUGAACAUUUUUCCGAAAACAAACACAGUGUUUGGGAAUCCAAACAUAGCCUUAGACUUCUACCAAAGAAAAAUGAAUAUUCCAGAACUUUAAGCUGAUUUGGUAUAUAUAACAGAGCUGUCACUCCUUUGCUGUUUUAGCACCUUUCCCCCAAGGAUCAAGACAUGGUUAAGAACUUCAAGAAUAUGCAACAUUCGAGUAGAUCUCUUCCAAGAAAAUGGUCCACUUGUCCGCCAAAAAUAAGCAAGAAUCCUCCUUACAGAUUUAUGCAUCGUCAAUAUGGGAAAUCAUUGUGGCCACUUUAAGUAAUCAUUUAUAGUGAAGCCUAUGAACAACUUUAAUUUAUUUCUCAAACUGAUAACAAGAAAUUAUCCACAUAACCAAUAUGAUUAAAUAUGUAGCAUAGACAAGUCACAAACGCAAGGCUUAUAGCUCUAUUGGUAGAGCACUCGUUUACAUGUGCGCCAAUGAUAUUCAGCAUACCCCGAUAAAAGUUGCUCUGGGAGACUACUUUGCUGUUGAUCUGGGAUGAGCCCUGAUAAAGUUUGUGCUCUAGGAGCUGCAAUUUCGAGGUUGUAUAUUACGUGGGGAUGUAAAAGAACUGCUGCUUCUCGAUUUCACUUCAUUAUCGCUUGGCAUCAAAACCAUUGGCGGUGUACUCGGAAGUCACAAGGCUCAUCAACAGAAAAACAACUACUACUACGAAGAGUCAGGGUGGAGGACAGAACCCCAAGACCAAUUAUGAUGAGGUGACGAAAUAAUUUUGAUUGGACCAGAUGUUCUCGUACUCUACUUCAACGCCCAACUAGGUAUCUCGAUCCCUCCUUCCCUUCGCCUACUGAGGAUACAGAUACUUAUAUCGCGGUUUUUGCAUGUAAAUAAUGGAGGUUUCAUGCAAGAUAUAGCUAAAUGGGAGAAACGGGUACUUCUCGAAUUUAAACGGGCCAACCCAUGCAGUUUUCCCUUUUUAAAUUGUUGAUUUUCCGAUGUGGAAAAUUCAUGCGUAUCUAGAUGUGUGCUGUCAAUCUCUCUCAUAACGGAUUAUGCUUUCAGUGAUUAAAUCUUUUACUUACUGAAAAGAUUUCGAUGAAUUAACAAGGAAAUGGCAUAGAAUUGCAUUAGAGUAUAGAAUGAUUCGGCUUACCUGUGUUUUUGCAAUAUGUUCUACUAUUAUAUAAAUGGGAUUUUAUGGUCAUGUCAUUGGCAACUAUAGUUUUCGUCUAGACAGGAGUCAAUAGCUAUAAACCAUUUGUUACAGAAUAGAGCACUCGUGAUAAUCUGCCACUCCAUGGAGAAAUUUAGAACAUAGUUAGGUCUGAGGAUAGCGGCUGUAUCCAUAAUAUCGUAUUUCCACUGCAGUUGAUGUUAAGUAGCUCAAGACAGGUUGCCAAGGAAACGCGAAACACUUUCAUUACGGAUAUAUAUUUGUACAGAUAUUCUAUACAUUAACUGAAAAGGGCGGUUGAAAUACGAAAACUGAACAUGGUCUACCGGUGCUAAUGCAGUAUAUCAAUUGCUCUCAAGCAUGGCCCCCAACAGAGGAGGCCAAGGAACUAUCCUGAGUAUAUGCUGCUGUAUCUCACUGUAUAUACUCUGUUACUGCAUAAUUUCUGCAUAGUAAUAUCUUGUGAAUGAUGAAACCGGACCAAACAAUUAAUCUUCCUAUUUCUUGACCACCAUCCACAACAGCAUGAUGUGGGUAAACAUCUGCUCCAAUGCAUAAGAUU